rnacentral:lncRNA from 1 species
ACAGUCUACACUGGGGAGUUCAAACAGUCUACACUGGGAGGUUCAAACAGUCUACACUGGGAGGUUUAAACAGUCUACACUGGGAGGUUUAAACAGUCUACACUGGGAGGUUCAAACAGUCUACACUGGGG